rnacentral:tRNA from 1 species
GCCUGGGUGGCUUAGUUGGUUAAGCGUCUGACUUCUGCCCAGGUCAUGAUCUCACAGCUCGUGGAUUCGAGCCCCGCAUCGGGCU